AUACGUAGGGUGCGAGCGUUAAUCGGAAUUACUGGGCGUAAAGCGUGCGCAGGCGGUUUUGUAAGUCAGAUGUGAAAGCCCCGGGCUUAACCUGGGAACUGCGUUUGAAACUACAAGGCUAGAGUGUGGCAGAGGGGGGUGGAAUUCCACGUGUAGCAGUGAAAUGCGUAGAGAUGUGGAGGAACACCGAUGGCGAAGGCAGCCCCCUGGGUCAACACUGACGCUCAGGCACGAAAGCGUGGGGAGCAAACAGGAUUAGAUACCCUGGUAGUCCACGCCCUAAACGAUGUCAACUAGUUGUCGGGUCUUAACGGACUUGGUAACGCAGCUAACGCGUGAAGUUGACCGCCUGGGGAGUACGGUCGCAAGAUUAAA
rnacentral:rRNA from 1 species